rnacentral:rRNA from 1 species
UACGUAGGGGGCAAGCGUUGUCCGGAUUUAUUGGGCGUAAAGAGCGUGUAGGCGGCCAGGUAGGUCAGCUGUGAAAACUCGAGGCUCAACCUCGAGACGUCGGUUGAAACCACCUGGCUUGAGUCCGGAAGAGGCGAGUGGAAUUCCCGGUGUAGCGGUGAAAUGCGCAGAUAUCGGGAGGAACACCAAUGGCGAAGGCAGCUCGCUGGGACGUGACUGACGCUGAGACGCGAAAGCGUGGGGAGCAAACAGG